rnacentral:rRNA from 1 species
GUGUCAGCAGCCGCGGUAAGACGAACCGAGCGAACGUUGUUCGGAAUCACUGGGCUUAAAGGGCGCGUAGGCGGGGUCAUAAGUCUGUGGUGAAAUCCUCCGGCUCAACCGGAGAACUGCCUCGGAUACUGUGGCUCUCGAGGGUGGUAGGGGUAUGCGGAACUAUCGGUGGAGCGGUGAAAUGCGUUGAUAUCGAUAGGAACUCCGGUGGCGAAGGCGGCAUACUGGACCACUUCUGACGCUGAGGCGCGAAAGCCAGGGGAGCAAACGGGAUUAGAUACCCGGGUAGUCC